rnacentral:rRNA from 1 species
UACGUAUGGGGCAAGCGUUAUCCGGAAUUAUUGGGCGUAAGGAGUGCGUAGGUGGUUACCUAAGCGCAAGGUUUAAUCUUGAGGCUCAACCUCAUUCUGCCUUGCGAACUGGGCUACUUGAGUGCAGGAGGGGAAAGCGGAAUUCCCAGUGUAGCGGUGAAAUGCGUAGACAUUGGGAAGAACACCGAUGGCGAGGGCGGCUUUCUGGACUGUAACUGACACUGAGGCACGAAAGCGUGGGGAGCAAACA